GGAAGAGGAUCGUGUGAUCGAUGUUCUGCACGAUUCGUAGCAAGGAAAUACGGUUACAUAAAUCGUAAGAUUUGGCACGGUUAUUUGCAUAUGUAAAGAAGAUAGAAAGAAAGAGAGAGAGAGGGAGAGAGAGAUAAUAAAAAGUUUUGGAGAAGGAGUCCGUCAAGAUAGAAGAAGAAUCAACAGAAUUAUUCGUUGAGACGAUCAGCUGUCAUUGUGUUUACAUUUGCCGUUGUCGCGUCGUUAAGAGUCGAUGAGGAGGACGCGUGAAAUAUAUUUGCUAGUGGUGGGGAUAACGGCCGUUGGGCAGUUCUCGACGAUCCGUCGAACCGUUAAUGUUGAUUCGUACUUUUUUACUCAUAUUGAUACGAGCGCGGGAAAACGUGGCAAACGGUGGCGAAACAAUCAAGAGAUAUAAAAAGUCGCGUACGUUUUUGCAAAUGCGUCGUCAACGUAAUUGGAUAUUAUCAGGAGGAACGAGGAGAACAUUCGUACAUUUCUACGUCGUGUACUUACGGGUGUGUAAAUACGCGCGUGUAUUUUGGCGAACAAUGUAGCCUCGGCUUAGCCCGGAGCAUCCGCUAUCGGAAUGGUGUCAAGCGUCGAAUGUAAAUAGCCAUAUGAAAGUAAGAAUAGAUACGUUAGUAGCCGAAUUCGUGUUUGCGUUUUGCGCAACUCUUUUGUUCUGAAAAAAGUCCUUUUUUCCUUUUUUUCUACUUUGUUCUGAUUGAACAUUAAUACCUUCCACUGUAGAUGCAACAUACAUACAAAUAUGCAUAUGCAUAUGUAUGUGGGUGAGAAUGUUUCAUGUGUAUCAUGGUAUCAUUUAUGGUAUCGAAGUAACAUUUUUUUUUUUCUUUUUAUUAAUAGUAAGAUAAGUCGCUUGUUUGAUAUUUUAACUUUGUCGUGCCCAUUUUGAUUAAUUUUUCGAUAUCCUAUUCGAAUGGAAAGGAGUUGCUUUCUUUUUAUCAUUUAUCGACUAUACUCUUUGAUCCAUUGUAUCUUCAUUCGUUAAAUGUCUUGCUCAGAUAUAAAUAAAAAACGUGCCACAUAGAAUUUUUUUCAAAAUGUAAAAAGAAUAGAGGAGCUUACACAAAAGAUUGACCGAUGUGAAAAUUUUAAUCAAUAGUAUUCGUCAUAAGGAGUAGCUGUAGUUCUUUUGCGAAUAAAUCAUAAUUUUUUACCAAAAUUCAUGUAUAUGUAUCACGACGGAUUUUUGAGGGAUGUUACAUUAACAAUGACGAAUUUUUUGAAAUGUUA